ensembl:lncRNA
GGCUCUCAUGGAGACCCUCCCUCCAUACUACACACUGUAGGUCCAUGGGGAGAUCUGCCUGAGGAGCAGCCCUGAGGCCAUGAAGAAGCGUGCAGCAGGUUCCUGAUGUUCACCUUCAGAAGCAAGAUAGCCUUUCUUUAAGAUCCACGUGGAGGACCCAGUCUAUACGCAGCAUCUCUGUUUGCCAAGAGGGAGAAGAUGUGUUUCCUCUCCUUAUCCUAAAGCACUUGAGGAGUCAGAGUUGCCUUGACACAGCCAGGAGCACUGGGAUGAAGGGAGAAGCCCUUGCAGGAAGUUUUACCCACAGCUGUGGUCCUGAGCACCGACUGGAGAGAGGCAGCUCCUGAACUACCCACACACUGGGAAUGCGAAUGCUUUGUUUCAAUAACAUUUAACAGCGAUUGCCUCGGCAACCUCUGGCCUGCUGUGAUUAAAUAUUAAUAUGCUUCUAGUCCCUGCUCUUACUCUGUUUUUCUCUCUGCUUUCUAAAUGAAGCUGCACACUCUUGGCCUUUCC